rnacentral:lncRNA from 10 species
UACUUGGAUCUAAAAACAUCUUGUUUAUUCAAGUUUCGUUAUAAAUUCCUUUGCUGUGCUAUAACAGGCUACGAAAUAUAGAAUAUUCAUGGGUUGCUAAACAAGUAACGAACCCCAGAGGCAGAGGUUGCAGUGAGCCGAGAUCACACUACUGCACUCCAGCCUGGGCAACAAGAGCAAAACUCUGCCUCAAAAUAAAUAAAUAAAUAAAUAGUGCUUCUGACAGUUUAAAACCCUAAAAUACAAAGCAGAACUCUGGUUAUAUUUCAAUAGCAUGGAUGUGUAUAUCUCACACAUAUAUAUGUACAAACUAAAGUCUUGAAGGAUAUGUACCAAAUAUAACAGUCCUUAUUUCAUCUUUAGUUUCUUCAUGUAUUCCUGCAUUUUCUAAUUUUCACAUUAAGUCUGUAU